UAUUGACACUUUGUAACAGAGUGACAUAAAAAUGAUAUUAGUUUGCGCAGCAGGAAUCGUAAAACGCUACUCACUGUGAAAAAUAGAGGCAAGAGCGGGAAGCACUUACAAGUUCUUCCCUCGCUCCGGAGCGAUGUUUGUUUCCUAAUAAGAACUGUCAUAAAACGCGGAAAAUAUUUUAGAGCGACGCGGCAAUUUCCGAACAGAGUAUGUUUAUUUCAAAGACCCCACUUCGCAUCGAAACUGGUGAGCUUUAAUGGCGAACUCUAGUAGGAUCUUCAGAGAAGCAGGUUUGAAAUUGAGGGGGAUUCCUUCAAAGUAAAUAAAAAUAAAUGGUCGGAGGGAGGACCUGAGCUGAGGACGCGAGAAAAACGCUGUGAAGGUCGCCUGAAGGAGGAGAAAAAUGGCAGUGGGGGCGUGGAUUCAUCCUUCAGCCAAGGAUCCAAAUAAACGUAACGUGUGGCAUUUAUAUUUGUGGAAACAAAUUUAUUUAUCACGCGAUAGGGAAGCUCCUGCACCGAGGUUGUUCGCUUUCGAGGGGUGUAUCAAAAAUUCGUAGCACCUGGAGGGAAGCCCGGAGAGCUGGAAGCUGGUGCAUGCAAAAAUUGAUUUACAUCCAGUGAUAUCUACACAUUUGCGAGACAGUAUUUUUGCUUAUGUUGCUUCGGUGCAAACAUGUAUUAUUAUUCGCACAAAAAGCGCUCUCGACCCGGCCAGCCCAUGUAUUCGAUUUGCGGUUUAAUUAGUUGACCAACUAGGGAGCAAGUUGGCCAACUCAAAUAUUUCCAUUAUAUCUGUUUCUCGGGUGGCCCCGAUUGUUUUCGUUUAUUGAUUGACUCACAUCCGUUCUUUGUACGAAAAUCUGCAUCCGUUUGCGGCGAUUAGAGUGUGGGAGAGUCCCCUAAUCAGCCUCCCAAAAAUGCCCGGUUCCUCUGGGGUUAUCAGCUGCUGUUCUGACUCGGACCCACUCGUUAUGGGGGAAUCACAUUCACAAUUAUUUUUGAGUAAGUGCCCGAAACUCACACAGAAUAUAGAAACUGGCCAAUGUCAGUGAACUGGGUCAGUGUGGCGCUUAUUAUUAAUUUAGUUCAUCUAAAGUAUGACUGGAGGGUCCUCGGGAGGAGUAAUUAAAACUAUCCGUGGGCGGAUAGGAGUUGUACGGACUGGCAUAAUGAAGCAAAACAUUUGGUGAAGUUAUUAAUGCAAUGGUCCUCCGCACUAUGACGCUUCAAAAAGACUCCCCCAGCGUGGAAUGAUGACGAGAGGGAUUUUAUAAUCGGUCGCGACGACGAGGCCACUUAAUAGAGGCAACUAAAACUGCAAGAGAAACAAAACAAUGGCUAAAACAUGCCAUUUCCAGGCAAGAAUUACACGGCAAACCAAUCCCCUGUCAUGAAUCGCAUUUAAAGUCGCUUAAAGAAUUUCCUUAAAAGCCGUGACUCUGCAGAAAGAUUGUCCGCGGAAGAGGGAGCCGUGGCGGGAGAAACCGCAUGUAGGUGUAGUGGCCGUCGUGUUGAAAGCAGGAGAUUUACAAGAUUUACACACGCACUCACGUUAAAUAACAAAUAGCCAGGGAAAGCCGGGGAGAGGAGCUCUGACAAAAA